GUGCUCACUUUAGCAGCGCAUAUACUAAAAUUGGAAUGAUACAGAGAAGAUUAGCAUGGUCUCUUUGCAAAAGUGUAGAAUACUGUUGGUUUAAAAAUCAGAUGAUCUAU